rnacentral:lncRNA from 1 species
GGAGACAGAAACACCAAGAUCAGCUAAUAAACGAGAUAACCAGGAAAGUUCAGCAACAAGUUUGCUCAAGGCUCGAUAUUCUGCCUCAGCAGAAGACAGAGAGACAACAGGUUGUUUCUUGGAUUUCCAGCUGACCAAGGAACCACCCAAAAGGACAGAAAAUCCAGUAACAGACCUUCUGGUAUCAGGGCAAGCAGCCCAAUCACUGUCAGAAUAUCCACUUAAAGAGAAAUCACCAUUGGCAGAGUAAAAAAGGCCCAUAGAAGGAGUGCCUUUAAGAUAUCUCAAAACAUGCAGAGUAGCAGUCAUAUGAGGGAGUCUGGGGCACUUGAGAAACUGACUUAGAUGUUGCACAGCAAAACAGAUAUCAGGUCGAGUAUGUGUCAAAAAUAAGAGCUUACCCACUAAGCUCCUAAACUGAUCAGGAGAGGGUAAGAGGUCACCACAAUCAGCAAGAAGUUUGACAUUUGUAUCCAAAGGACAGACAACAGAAGAUACAUUAGAGCAUAUCUCAAAACAUGCAGAGCAGCAGUCAUAUGAGGGAGUCUGGCGCACUUGAGAAACUGACUUAGAUGUUGCACAGCAAAACAGAUAUCAGGUCGAGUAUGUGUCAAAAAUAAGAGCUUACCCGCUAAGCUCCUAAACUGAUCAGGAGAGGGUAAGAGGUCACCACAAUCAGCAAGAAGUUUGACAUUUGUAUCCAAAGGACAGACAACAGAAGAUACAUUAGAGCAGUCAAACUGAUGCAACAAGUCAGAAAUAUAUUUCUGCUGAUUGAGGAUCAUUCCACCAGAAACAGGAGACAUCUGAAUACCCAAGAAAUAAUGCAAGGACCCUAGGUCCUUGAUUUUGAACUGAUCAUCAAGAAACAGUUUCAGGGCAGUGAUUUCAUCAUUGUCAUCCCCAGUGAUAAUAAUAUCAUCCACAUACACUGCCAGAAUCACUAAAGACCAAGAUGUGCCUUUGAUGAGUAAAGAAUAGUCAUUCAAAGAGUGUUCAUAUCCUCUGAGAGAGAGAGCAUGAGACAACUUGGCAUACCACUGUCUGGAAGCCUGUCUCAGCCCAUAAAGAGAUUUUUUAAGUUUGCAAACCAGAGGAGAAGGAACAGGAGAAAUAGAAUCAGAAACAGCAGCAGAGACAGUCAAGCCAGGGGGCAGUUUCAUGUAAACCUCCUCAUCCAAGUCACCAUUCAAGAAAGCAUUAUUAACAUCAAGUUGAAACAGAUUCCAAUUCUUUUUCAGAGCAACAGCAAUC